UGCUUUUUGUUAUUAUAUGUGAUUGCCAUGUUUAUUGUUUUGCAUGCUUAGAUGGUGAUUAUAUGUUUUAGCAUGAGUGUUUGUUAUUUCAAAUUAUUUAAAUUAUGGUGCAUGACAAUUAAGUGACUUAUUUGUUCAUGAUUUAAAUGAUUAGAGAUGACAUGAAGCAUGACUUAAUUAUGUUAUUUUUCUUGAUCUAUA
rnacentral:lncRNA from 1 species